CCCUCUCCCCUUGCUAAAGGCUUGUUUAAGUAACCUGAUGUCCCCAAAGCACCCCCUAUCCCCUUGCUGAAGGCUUGAUUGUUCCCAUAGCUGGAUGGCAACACAUACCAGGAUGUCUAUUGUCUGUGAUCACCCGGUCUGUCAAAAGAAAAGACAAAUGAGGAAUAGAGUGUACCUGGGACUUUCCAGAGUGCUGAGCCAAGGCCCACCAGAACAAACCAUUGUGUCCUUGCCUUAAACCCAGUGCCUGACAAUGCUUGAUUUAAGUUAACCAAUCAGAUCCCUGUAACCAAGCAUCUGCUUCUGUAAGCUCGCUUCCCACCACCCCAACCCUUGCCCUAUAUAAUCUGCUCCCCAAUCUAUCCCGGCGCGCUCAGCCCACAAAGGCUGAUGCGUCCGCAGGUGCCUGUGUAACCAAUAAACCUCUUGCAACUUGCAUCCAGUGGAGGCUUGGUGUCUGCUUCUUGGGUGCAGAUCGAGGGUCUUUCAUUUGGAGAUCCCACCGAAAUCUCUUGGAAUCCCACCCAAGACCAAUCCCCACCGGGAGACUCCAUUGCUACAAUGACUACACCACGACAGACGAUCCUUGUCGCGCACAAGGACACCUCUUUACUGUCAGCGCUGGAUUCAACUGCCUCCACCUUUCAAAACUCCCUUAUACAUUCCUACCCUGAUCAAUAUUAACCCCAGUAGGUAGGGACAGCUCUACGCCCCUAUUCAGCACGAAGAAGUUAUAGAAGAUGAGACCUUCCACCUUCAACCACCUUAAAAAUUUAAGGGUCUUUAAAAGCUGGCGCAUUGCAUCCCCCCUUCACCCGCUCCCCUCCAUAUGUGUAGCAUUCCUCAGGCACCCCUGACUGCCAUAAAAUGAUAAAUAGUUGACUUGCUGAGAUCACAAUCCUGCAAGACAGGAGCCUCACUUGGUUUGCAAAUGUCCUUGAGAUUACAACAAAGAAAUUACCUUAUCAAUAGCCCAAUUUUCAAUCGGCCCUUGUAUCUUAAAUAAACUCUUACAGUUUGUAAAAGAUCGCUUGUCAGUAAUCCGGACAAUGGUACUGACACAGCAAUAUCAACUAAUUAAACAGACCGGAUCUCAAACUGACUUACUUCAUAAACAAAGCAAAUGGAUAUAAGAUUCUAUCCAUGAUAAAGAAAAAGGGGGGAAUGAAAGACCCCUCUCCCCUUGCUAAAGGCUUGUUUAAGUAACCUGAUGUCCCCAAAGCACCCCCUAUCCCCUUGCUGAAGGCUUGAUUGUUCCCAUAGCUGGAUGGCAACACAUACCAGGAUGUCUAUUGUCUGUGAUCACCCGGUCUGUCAAAAGAAAAGACAAAUGAGGAAUAGAGUGUACCUGGGACUUUCCAGAGUGCUGAGCCAAGGCCCACCAGAACAAACCGUUGUGUCCUUGCCUUAAACCCAGUGCCUGACAAUGCUUGAUUUAAGUUAACCAAUCAGAUCCCUGUAACCAAGCAUCUGCUUCUGUAAGCUCGCUUCCCACCACCCCAACCCUUGCCCUAUAUAAUCUGCUCCCCAAUCUAUCCCGGCGCGCUCAGCCCACAAAGGCUGAUGCGUCCGCAGGUGCCUGUGUAACCAAUAAACCUCUUGCAACUUGCAUCCA